UACAGAGGGUGCAAGCGUUAAUCGGAAUUACUGGGCGUAAAGCGUGCGUAGACGGUUACAUAAGUCGGGUGUGAAAGCCCCGGGCUCAACCUGGGAAUUGCAUUCGAGACUGCGUAGCUAGGGUACGGUAGAGGGAAGCGGAAUUUCCGGUGUAGCGGUGAAAUGCGUAGAUAGUCGGAAGGAACACCAGUGGCGAAAGCGGCUUCCUGGACCAGUACCGACGUCAGGCACGAAAGCGUGGGGAGCAAACAGG
rnacentral:rRNA from 1 species